AAAAAAGGAUGGUAAUGGUCACACCUGAAAUGCUUUUUACCACCACAGGUCUGACCUGGGGUUAAACCAUCACCACAGCAACUAUAACCGAAAUCUGUAUCUUCAGCUAAAAAAGAUAUAAUAACCAAUGAGCUGGUUGAAUAUUUCUGCAAAUGUUGAGAUUUACAACUAGAAACUAACAACAGAAUUGACAGAAGCUAUUCUUUGGGAAGGUGAAAGUAUGAUGGAAAUAUCUUGAUGAAGAUUUAAAAUAUUUAACUAUAAUGGCACGUUGCUUGGUAUUUAUUCUAUCAGUUUCCUUUGCCAAACUACUAAGCUACAGGGACAUAAACAAACCAACACUAGUUGUCAAGUAGUGGAGGGGACAAACAUAUAUAUGUUGGGCUUCCAUACAGUUUCUGUUUACCAAAUUCACUCACAAGGCAUUGGUAGGCCAAGGAUUGGGAAAUAAGUACCAAACCAGGACAGUAGAUUGGUAGAACUGUUGGAUUCUGAGUUCAAAUCUUGUGGCCUUCUUGGGUAACGGAUUUAAUCUGCAAUCCAAUUUAAAACCACUUAUAUGAUACCUUGGAUGUAUUUGGUGGAGUCUACUCUACAGCAAGACCUAGAGCCAGGUCACUUGAGUUUGAGGAUAUCUUCCUCCCUCCUUCCAGUCUUGGAGGCCAUGUGAAGGGCCACAGGCACUGCCUUCUCUAAAUUACUUAGGUUUAGACUAAGGUCUGUCAUGAACCCUUAGGACUCAUAAGGCCAGAGCCCAACUUAGUUUUGACAGUGCAUAGGUGACUGAGACUGCAAACCACCACCACCACCCACUGGACAAAAAGUCGGUCCAACUUGGACCCAAGCAACUGCUAGAACUCAUUUAUAGCUGAGUGAACUGGAGCAAUGUGAAAUGCAGUGUUUUGCUCAAGAAGACAAAACACUGCCCAGUCAAGGAAUGAAACCACAAUCUUAUGACCACAAGUGCAAUACCCUAACCACUGGGCCACAUGCCUUCACAACUGACUAAAAUGAUAAAAACACUGAAAGCCAAUG